rnacentral:miRNA from 1 species
UAUAUAUGUGUGUGUGUGUGUGUGUGUGUGUGUAGAUAUAUACACACACACACACACAUAUAUACAUAUACACA